rnacentral:tRNA from 1 species
GGUGUUGUGGCUCAGUGGUAGGGCGCUUGCCUAGCAUGUGUGAGGCACUGGGUUCAAUUCUCAGCAUCACAU